AAGAGAUUCGUCUUGCUUAUGUGCUUGCUCAUUGGAUUGAGUGUGUGGUAGAGACUUUUGACCGAACUGCUCUUUGCUUCACCAAAUAUGCUGUUCUCUUCUAUUUAUUAUAGAAUCAUUUUUAAGUCACUUCGUUAGUGUUCCGGGAAAGCAAAAGAUUGAACAAAAGAUUGACUAUAUUAAACAAGCAAGCACGAAAAUCAAAGCUGUUCUUUUUAUAUAAGUAACGGCCCAGUACAUUGAAAGUUCCUAUGUAUAAAGAUUGAUUCUAAAAAGAAGUCAGAGUUCCUUCGGAAUUGUAACCUCCCAUUGCUCUAUCGGAGAUAGCAUGCAGCCCAUAAUGGGGACAGAUAUAUAGAAAGUGUGCAGUGAGGGAGGUAGUCAGUCUUUACUUAACUCGACCCAAGCUUGACUUAGUAGCCCCAGCAAUGCCCAAAGACUCCCAUGCCUUUCUUGGUUGGACCAUCCUAACCAGCGAUUUCCGUCUUCCAUCAUUGGAUGAGUCAGAAUCAGUCUCUCAAUCUUUUUUUGGGGGGGAGCAGAGC
rnacentral:lncRNA from 1 species